rnacentral:rRNA from 1 species
CAGUCGCCGCGGGAAAACGAAGGGGGCUAGCGUUGCUCGGAAUGACUGGGCGUAAAGGGCGCGUAGGCGGCACAGACAGUCAGAAGUGAAAUUCCUGGGCUCAACCUGGGGACUGCUUUUGAUACGUCUGAGCUAGAGUGGAGAAGAGGGUUGUGGAAUUUCCAGUGUAGAGGUGAAAUUCGUAGAUAUUGGAAAGAACACCGGUGGCGAAGGCGGCAACCUGGUCUUUUACUGACGCUGAGGCGCGAAAGCGUGGGGAGCAAACAGGAUUAGAUACCCGCGUAGUCCCUGUCUCUUAUAC